UAGGGAAUCUUCGGCAAUGGACGAAAGCCUGACCGAGCAACGCCGCGUGAGUGAAGAAGGUUUUCGGAUCGUAAAACUCUGUUGUUAGAGAAGAACAAGGACGUUAGUAACUGAACGUCCCCUGACGGUAUCUAACCAGAAAGCCACGGCUAACUACGUGCCAGCAGCCGCGGUAAUACGUAGGUGGCAAGCGUUGUCCGGAUUUAUUGGGCGUAAAGCGAGCGCAGGCGGUUUCUUAAGUCUGAGGUGAAAGCCCCCGGCUCAACCGGGGGGGGUUAUUGGAAACUGGGAGGCGUGAGGGGAGAAGAGGAGGGUGGAAUUAUAUGUGUAGCGGUGGAAUGCGUAGUUAUAUGGAGGAACACCAGUGGCGAAGGCGGCUCUGUGGUCUGUAACUGACGCUGAGGCACGAAAGCGUGGGGAGCAAACAGG
rnacentral:rRNA from 1 species